rnacentral:rRNA from 1 species
UACGUAGGGGGCAAGCGUUAUCCGGAAUUACUGGGUGUAAAGGGUGAGUAGGCGGCAUGGUAAGUCAGUUGUGAAAGUUUGCGGCUCAACCGUAAAAUUGCAGUUGAAACUGGCAGUCUUGAGUACAGUAGAGGUGGGCGGAAUUCGUGGUGUAGCGGUGAAAUGCUUAGAUAUCACGAAGAACUCCGAUUGCGAAGGCAGCUCACUAGACUGCAACUGACACUGAUGCUCGAAAGUGUGGGUAUCAAACAGG